GAUAAAUAGUACGCUAUCCGUUUCGUUUAUUUUAUUUAGAAGUAAAUUUAGCUGGAAAUGUAAAUCAACUAGGAUUCGAACUUAAAACUUCGGGUACCAACUACUAAGUCUUUUGUUACUUGCUCUAGAGACAGUCGGUCAGUAGAUUAGAUUGUUAGUUUUACUACCAGAUGAAAAGUUGAAGGAAAAUUAUAAUUUAAUUUAAUAAUU
rnacentral:lncRNA from 1 species